GCCUUCGGCAUAUGGCGGGGUCUUUGUCUCUCGCUACCUGCAGAGCUCUGGAUCUGUCUCUGCUGUUCCGCGUCCUACACCUUGAGAUCCACCGUCCCCCCUCCCCCGCCCCGUGACUCUUUCACAGCCUCUGUUGCUCUGUGACCUGCAGGUCCUGGGAGACGCACACCUAAGAUGCCAGGACAUCCUGGAAACUUGGAAAGGGUCUUGCUGUCUCUAAACUGGACCUGGUGACCUUUUUGGAGGGAAGGAAAGAGCGCUGGACUGUGAAGAGUGAGGAGACCGUAGCUGCACAGCCAGGAGAUUUAACUCCCCUUUUCUGCCUGCAUGCUGAUCACUGGAAAGAUUGUGAUGAAUCACUGGUCUCACCAAUGAGAUGAUGUGUUUUUCCUGCCUGGUCCUUGCCCACAGAUCAUUGUAACAUAUCACGGUGCCUAGCAUCCACGUGGUGUGGCUCUGCUGACUGUACUCUGCUUUCAGGAGGAGAUUUUAACAUAUUCCUAAUCAAGCACCCAGGUGGUGUGACACUUCUGCCCUGUCCUUGCCCUCAGAGAAGAUUGUGACAUGUCAUUUCCCCAAAACACAGGUGAUGUGAGUCUACUGGUCAGUCUCUAUUCACUGGUGGGAUUGUGAUGCAUAUCUUGUCCAAACUUACAGGUGCAAUAAUGACUCAUAUCUUAAAACAACCAAUAGCAGAUACACUGUCUCUCAUAGCCAGGGUCAGGAAAAUGAGUAAUGUCUUGGGUCUCCUCUUUGUAUGAAGGUCAUGAAGAGUUAACACUCUCACAUACUGUGUAGAGUUGUCAAGAGGUACAGAGAAUGUCCUAAAAGAACUCAGCACACAGGAGAGGUUGUGACACUCAUGAAUAGCCUUCCAACAGUAAAGACUGUCAUCCUUCCCCAUAAACACAGCUCACUGUUGAGGUUCUGAAUCUCAUAUCCAGAGGCAGUAGAAAGUUGGAAAAUUGAAUCUCAUAAUUUGGUCCAUUGAGAGAUUAGUGUCUCUGACACCAAGAUUGAGCACACCCAUGAGUUGGUAACUUCAUUAAAAUGACACAAUUUCCAGGACGGAUUGAGGGUCUCAUAUACAAAUUGAGACCAUCAUUGAGAUUGUUACUCAUGUACUUACCCAACAUACAGAGGGUAUUAUGGCUCAUAUCUAGAACUAAGAAAUGUGUGAAAUUAUUCAUCUCAUACCUUGAUCUUCAUGCAUGUGUGAUUGUGACAUACACCUGCAUAGCACCUGAGUGAUUUGACUCUUCUGCCUGGUUCCUUUUGUAUAUUAUGUAUUGUGACAUGUGUCUGGUUCUAACACCUUGGUGAUGUGACUCUCCUGCAUUGGACCUUCCCACAGAGGUGUUAUAACAUAUCUUUUUAUUCAUCACCCAGGUGAUAUAAUUCUGUUUUUCUUUCUGGGCCCGGCCAAAAGGGAAGUUUGUGGCAUAUCACCGGACCCAGCACCUAGGUGAUGUGAUUCUCCUAUUUUUCCUGGGCCUCACAUAUUUUGGGUAUUGUAAAAUAUUACUAGGUCCACCACCCACAGGAUUGCAUGUUCCUGCCUGGGCUUUGCCCACAGGGACCUUGUGACAUAUAUCCAUGACCUAAAAGAUGUGAUGCUUCUUGCCUGCACCAUGCCCUGCACAGGAAAGAUUGUGACAUAUCCCUGAAACCAAACAUCAGGUGAUGUGGCUCUUCUGUCUGUCUCUCUUCUUAGGGAGCAUUGUGACAUAGUGCUGAGCUCAGCACCCAGGUAAUGUGACUCUUGCCUGUGCUGUGUUUUCAGGAGAGAAUUCUAACAUAUUCCUGACUGAGCACCCAGGUGAUUGACAUUCCUGCUUCGUUCCUCAUUCCCUUAUGGAAGAUUGUGAGAUAUCCUUGGCUGAAAUCCCAGGUGAUAUGAGUCUCCCGCUAACUGCCUACCUACAUAUUAAAUGAUGGCAUACACUAUAGUCAGCUUUUUUUUCAGGACAACUUGCUGUGCUACAGUCAGCUUAUGUGAUGAUGACUAUCUUACCUCUAGUCAGCUAUUAGAAGUAAUACUGUCUCUCAUAUAAAUGAGUCACAUCUUUGGUCUUCUCUGUUUAUGAAGGUCAUGAAGAAUUAGCACACUCCCACAUGUUACAUAAUGCCCUCGAUUGUUAUAAAGAGUGUUAUCCAGCUGGGCAUGGUGGCUCACACCUAUAACCCCAGCACUUUGGGAGGCUGAGGUAGGUGGAUCACCUGAGAUAAGGUGUUCGAGACCAGCCUGGCCAACAUGGUGAAACCCGGUCUCUGGUAAAAAUUUUUAAAAAUUAAAAAAAUUUAGUCAGGUGUGGUGGCUUACACCUGUAGUCUCAGCUACUCUGGAGGCUGAGGCAGAAGAAUCGCUUGAACUUAGGAGGCGGGUUGCAAUGAGUGGAGAUUGCACCAGUACACUCCAUCCAGCCUGGGUGGCAGAGCAAGACUCCGUCUCAAAAAAAAAAAAAGUGUUAUCCCAGGGCACAGCACAAAGGUGACAUUGUUUCUUAUAUGCACACCUCACCAAUCGUUAGGAUUAUCACCUUCACACAUGGAAAGAGCCCAUUGCUGAGGUCUUAAAUAUCACAUGCAAACACUGUCCACAGUUGGAAUUGUGACUGUCAUGUGAGCUUCCAGCCACAGUUGAGAUGGUGACACAUUUCUAAACUCAGAACAUAGCAGAUGAGGGGUCUACUAUCUAAACUCAGCCAACUGGAGAGAUUUUGCCUCUAAUCCCUGUGCUUAGGGCCGCAAGUAUGGUCAUGAGCGCUUACAAACAUGAUUUUAGAGUAACUUGUGAUUCUCAUUUAUACUGGAUAAAGCCUUUGAGUGUAGUAGCCAGGCACGAUGGCUCAUACCUGUAAUCCCAGCAUUAGAAGGCCAAGGCGGGUGAAUCACCAGGUCAGGAAUUCGAGACCAGCCUGGCCAACAUAGUGAAGCCUUGUCUCUACUAAAAAUACAAAAAAUUAGCUGGGCUUGGUGGUGGGCACCUAAUGCCAGCUACUUGGGAGGCUGGGGCAGGAGAAUCACUUGAACCAAGAGGCAGAGGUUGCGUUGAGUUGAGAUCAUGCCACUGCACUCCAUCCCAGGUGACAGUGUGAGACUGUCUCAAAAAAAAAAAAAAAAAAGAAAAGUAUACUAACAAGACCAAGCACACGGGGGGAUUUUGUUUUUGCUUUUUUAAAUGGAGUCUUGCUGUGUCACCCAAGCUGGAGGAAUGGGAGUUUUCUCUCCUGGUUUGGUGCUGUCCACAAUGAGCAUUAUGAAAUAUUGCUGCCAUCUCUCCUAGGUUAUGUUACUCUCCUGCCUCUGUUUUGCCCACAUGAGUCAUUGUGACAUUAUGACAUAUUGCUAGGUAUAAAACCCAGGUAAUGUAACGCUCUUGUUUGUGAUAUCAUGACAUAGCUUUGUGCCAAUUACUCAGGUGAUGUGAAUCUUUUCACCUGCCUGGUUCUUGUUCACUGGGAGAUAAUGAUACCUAUUGCUGGUUUCAGCACUUGUUUGGGUUCUGCCUGCAGGAGCCAUUGUCACAUAUCGCUGCUCAUCACACAGGUGAUAUGACUCCCUUUUACUGCCUAGUCGCUUCUCACAAAAUGUGACAUAUUGCUAGGCCCAGUAUCUACCUAGUGUGACUCUUCUUUCUAGGUUCCAUCUGCAGCAAAGAUUGUAACAUACUGCUGGGCCCAACAGCAUACUCUUUUGCCUUGGGCCUGCCCUCAGAAGGCACUGUAACAUACUCAUGGGUCCAAUGCCAAGGUAAUGUAUGUCUCCAGCCUGGUCUCUACCCACAGGGGGCAUUGUGACAUAUCUCUUGGCCCAUCAGAUGUUUGAUAUUAUCCCCUCCCCUCUCCUACCAUGUGUUUGCCUAUAAGAAACAUUGUCACAAGUUUCUGGGCCCAGCACCUAGGUGAUGUCUUCCUGAGACCUGUCCAUAUGGGAAUUGUGAUAUAUCGUGUGGCUCAGUACUGACUUGAUAUAACUCUCCUCUCAUGCCUACGCCCUGCUCACGGGUGGGAUUGUGACACAUAGGUUGGCCUAGCCCCUUGGGUAUGUUACACUCCUCUUAUUCUCCAGUCAUUUUCACAGGGGGCAUUGUGACAUAUGGCUGGACUGAGAACUUAGGUGAUUCGAAUCUCUACUGCUUGAAAUAUAUCCCAAAAGAGAGUUUGAUAUAUGCUUGUCCAGUUUCCUAGGUGAUGUUACUCUUUUCUCCUGCCUGAACCCUGCAUACAUUAUGCAUUUUGACACAUCACUGGGGCUAACACCUAGGUGAUGUAACUCUCCUGCAUAAGGUUUGCAUACAGGGGUAUGACGAUUAUCUUUUCAUUCAUCACAUAGGUGGUGUGACUCUCCACUUAUGCCUGCGCCUUGAUGAAAGAGAAAUUGUGACAUAUCCCUGGACCUAGCACUUAGGGGAUGUAACUCACCUUUAUUGCCAGGGCAUGGAAUGAUGAGUAUUGUGACAUAUCUCUGGGCCCGACACCUAGGGGAUGAGAGGCUCCUGUCUGGGCCCUGCCCACAGGAAGCUUUGUGGCAUGUCUCUGGUCUCAUUACCUAGAAAAAUAUUACUCUCCUCUUCUACCUGCAUUCUUCUCACAGAAAAGAUUGAGACAUCACUGGAUGCAGCAAUUACAAGAUGUUUCUCUCCUGCCUGAGCCUUGCCCACAGGAACAUUGUGACAUAUCCCUGGGCUCAGCACUCAGGUGAUGGGACUCUGCCACCUGUUCCCUGUCUACUUAGGCUUUUGUGAAGUAUAGCUGGUUUCAAUACCCAGGUGAUGUACCUCCUGCCAGGCCACUGCCUUCCAGGGAUAUUGUGACAUAUCUUUGUGCUAAUCACCCAGGAGAUGUGAAUCUUUUCACCUGCCUGGUCCUUGUUCACUGGGAGAUGAUACCUAUUUCUGGUUUCAGCAUUGAGUUGAUGUAACUGCUUUCUAGGUUCUGCCCGCAAAAAAACUGACGUAUCGGGGGUCCAAAGUGGCUCCCACCGGAGGUCAUGGUGCUCGCGAAGGCGAGGUCAUCAGUUCAAGGCUAACCUGAGCAACCUCAUAAGCUCAAACUGAUUGGCAAAAAAAAAAAAAACAAAAAAAAAACUGACGUAUCACUAGGCCCAUAAGCAAAGUUAUUUUGCCUGGUCCUGCAAAUUUUUAAAAGACAUUAUGACAUACUACAGUGCCCAGCACCAAUGUAAUUUGUCUCCUGUCUAAACCCUGCCUACUGGAGACAUGGUGUCAUAUCUCUUGUCCCAUUAACUAUUUGAUGUAACUCUCCUUUUAUUUUUCCUUUGAGAGUAUCAUAAGAGAACACAGCCCACUGGUGAGAUAGUGUCUCUUGAAUACACAUGCAGGCAACAGUGAAGAUUGUCAUUCUCCCACAUAAACACAUCCCACUGUUGAAGUUCUGAAUUUCACAGAGGCUGUCAAAAGUUGGAUAAUUGCUUCUCAUGUUUUGAUCUGGUCUACAGGUGGGCUGGUGACUUCCAGACCAAGAUUGAGCACAUACAAGGCUGUGACUGCACUAAGCAGACACAGUCUGCAGAAGCAAGUGUGGCUCUUUUGCACACAUUCUGUCAA